AAUGAACGUUGGCGGCGUGGAUUAGGCAUGCAAGUCGAGCGAGGAAACAUGUAGCAAUACGUGUUAUUCGAGCGGCGUAAGGGGCAGUAAUACCUGGGAACGUACCCUGAGGUCGGGGAUAGCUGCUAGAAAUGGCGAGUAAUACCCGAUGAUCUCGAGAGAGCAAAGGCUUGCCGCCUUCGGAGCGGCCCAGGCGAUAUUAGCUAGUUGGUGGGGUAAUGGCCACCAAGGCAUAGAUGUCUAGCGGGUGUGAGAGCACGACCCGCGCCACUGGCACUGAGACACUGGCCAGACACCUACGGGUGCUGCAGUCGAGAAUCUUCGGCAAUGAGCGCAAGCUUGACCGAGCGACGCCGCGUGCGGGAUGAAGGCC
rnacentral:rRNA from 1 species